UACGUAGGUGGCAAGCGUUGUCCGGAAUUACUGGGCGUAAAGCGUGCGCAGGCGGUUCUGCAAGUCAGAUGUGAAAUCCCCGGGCUUAACCUGGGAACUGCGUUUGAAACUACGGAGCUAGAGUGCGGCAGAGGGGGGGUGGAAUUCCACGUGUAGCAGUGAAAUGCGUAGAUAUGUGGAGGAACACCGAUGGCGAAGGCAGCCCCCCUGGGCCGACACUGACGCUCAGGCACGAAAGCGUGGGGAGCAAACAGG
rnacentral:rRNA from 1 species